AAGUCGUAACAAGGUUUCCGUAGGUGAACCUGCGGAAGGAUCAUUAUUGAAUAAACCUGAUGUGACUGUUAGCUGGCUUUUCGAAGCAUGUGCUCGUCCAUCAUCUUUAUCUCUCCACCUGUGCACAUUUUGUAGUCUUGGAUACCUCUCGAGGAAACUCGGAUUUUAGGAUCGCCGUGCUGUACAAGUCGGCUUUUCUUUCAUUUCCAAGACUAUGUUUUUAUAUACACCAAAGUAUGUUUAUAGAAUGUUAUCAAUGGGAACUUGUUUCCUAUAAAAUUAUACAACUUUCAGCAACGGAUCUCUUGGCUCUC
rnacentral:misc_RNA from 1 species